rnacentral:rRNA from 1 species
GACGAACGCUGGCGGCGUGCCUAAUACAUGCAAGUAGAACGCUGAAGCUUGGUGCUUGCACCGAGCGGAUGAGUUGCGAACGGGUGAGUAACGCGUAGGUAACCUGCCUGGUAGCGGGGGAUAACUAUUGGAAACGAUAGCUAAUACCGCAUAACAGUAGAUGUCGCAUGACAUUUGCUUAAAAGGUGCAAUUGCAUCACUACCAGAUGGACCUGCGUUGUAUUAGCUAGUUGGUGAGGUAACGGCUCACCAAGGCGACGAUACAUAGCCGACCUGAGAGGGUGAUCGGCCACACUGGGACUGAGACACGGCCCAGACUCCUACGGGAGGCAGCAGUAGGGAAUCUUCGGCAAUGGACGGAAGUCUGACCGAGCAACGCCGCGUGAGUGAAGAAGGUUUUCGGAUCGUAAAGCUCUGUUGUAAGAGAAGAACGAGUGUGAGAGUGGAAAGUUCACACUGUGACGGUAUCUUACCAGAAAGGGACGGCUAACUACGUGCCAGCAGCCGCGGUAAUACGUAGGUCCCGAGCGUUGUCCGGAUUUAUUGGGCGUAAAGCGAGCGCAGGCGGUUAGAUAAGUCUGAAGUUAAAGGCUGUGGCUUAACCAUAGUACGCUUUGGAAACUGUUUAACUUGAGUGCAAGAGGGGAGAGUGGAAUUCCAUGUGUAGCGGUGAAAUGCGUAGAUAUAUGGAGGAACACCGGUGGCGAAAGCGGCUCUCUGGCUUGUAACUGACGCUGAGGCUCGAAAGCGUGGGGAGCAAACAGG